rnacentral:rRNA from 1 species
GACGUAGGGCGCGAGCGUUGUCCGGAUUUAUUGGGCGUAAAGAGCUCGUAGGCGGCUUGUCGCGUCGACCGUGAAAACUUGGGGCUCAACCCCAAGCCUGCGGUCGAUACGGGCAGGCUAGAGUUCGGUAGGGGAGACUGGAAUUCCUGGUGUAGCGGUGAAAUGCGCAGAUAUCAGGAAGAACACCCGUGGCUAAGGCGGUUCUCUAGUACGGUACUGACGCUGAGACGCGAAAGCGUGGGGAGCGAACAGG